GACGAACGCUGGCGGCGUGCCUAAUACAUGCAAGUAGAACGCUGAAGGAGGAGCUUGCUUCUCUGGAUGAGUUGCGAACGGGUGAGUAACGCGUAGGUAACCUGCCUGGUAGCGGGGGAUAACUAUUGGAAACGAUAGCUAAUACCGCAUAACAGUAGAUAUCGCAUGAUAUCUACUUGAAAGGUGCAAUUGCAUCACUACCAGAUGGACCUGCGUUGUAUUAGCUAGUUGGUGAGGUAACGGCUCACCAAGGCGACGAUACAUAGCCGACCUGAGAGGGUGAUCGGCCACACUGGGACUGAGACACGGCCCAGACUCCUACGGGAGGCAGCAGUAGGGAAUCUUCGGCAAUGGACGGAAGGCUGACCGAGCAACGCCGCGUGAGUGAAGAAGGUUUUCGGAUCGUAAAGCUCUGUUGUAAGAGAAGAACGAGUGUGAGAGUGGAAAGUUCACACUGUGACGGUAUCUUACCAGAAAGGGACGGCUAACUACGUG
rnacentral:rRNA from 1 species